AUCUUCCGCAAUGGGCGCAAGCCUGACGGAGCAACGCCGCGUGAGUGAUGAAGGCCUUCGGGUUGUAAAACUCUGUCUUCUGUGAAGAACCAUCCUGUGCAGAGAAAGCUCAGGACCUGACGGUAACAGAGGAGGAAGCCCCGGCUAACUACGUGCCAGCAGCCGCGGUAAUACGUAGGGGGCAAGCGUUGCUCGGAAUUACUGGGCGUAAAGCGCACGUAGGCGGACUUUUAAGUCGAGGGUGAAAUCCUGGAGCUCAACGCCAGAACUGCCUUCGAAACUGAAAACCUUGAGUUCGGGAGAGGUGAGUGGAACUGCGAGUGUAGAGGUGAAAUUCGUAGAUAUUCGCGAGAACACCAGUGGCGAAGGCGGCUCAGUGUCCCGAUACUGACGCUGAGGUGCGAAAGCGUGGGGAGCAAACA
rnacentral:rRNA from 1 species